rnacentral:ribozyme from 13 species
ACUUUUUUUUUUUUUUUUUUUUUUUUUUUUUUUUUUUUUUUUUUUUUUUUUUUUUUUCUUCCGUCCAUCUCUAUAGAC